CCUACGGGGGGCUGCAGUGGUGAAUAUUGGACAAUGGGGGCAACCCUGAUCCAGCCAUGCCGCGUGUGUGAAGAAGGCCCUCGGGUUGUAAAGCACUUUCAGUGAGGAAGAACGCCUGGUGGUUAAUACCCAUCAGGAAAGACAUCACUCACAGAAGAAGCACCGGCUAACUCCGUGCCAGCAGCCGCGGUAAUACGGAGGGUGCGAGCGUUAAUCGGAAUUACUGGGCGUAAAGCGCGCGUAGGUGGCUUGAUAAGCCGGUUGUGAAAGCCCCGGGCUCAACCUGGGAACGGCAUCCGGAACUGUCAAGCUAGAGUGCAGGAGAGGAAGGUAGAAUUCCCGGUGUAGCGGUGAAAUGCGUAGAGAUCGGGAGGAAUACCAGUGGCGAAGGCGGCCUUCUGGACUGACACUGACACUGAGGUGCGAAAGCGUGGGUAGCAAACAGGAUUAGAUACCCUUGUAGUC
rnacentral:rRNA from 1 species